rnacentral:rRNA from 1 species
UACGGAGGGUGCAAGCGUUGUCCGGAAUCACUGGGCGUAAAGGGCGCGUAGGCGGCUCAUGAAGGCUGUGGUGAAAGUCCGGGGGCUCAACCUCGGAUCGGCCGUGGCGACUCGUGGGCUGGAGCACUGUAGAGGCGGGUGGAAUUCCGGGGUGUAGCGGUGGAAUGCGUAGAGAUCCGGAAGGAACACCAGUGGCGAAAGCGGCUUCCUGGUCCAGCACCGACGUUCAGGCACGAAGCGUGGGAGCAA